rnacentral:rRNA from 1 species
AUUGAACGCUGGCGGAAUGCUUUACACAUGCAAGUCGAACGGCAGCACGGGGCAACCUGGUGGCGAGUGGCGAACGGGUGAGUAAUACAUCGGAACGUGCCCAAUCGUGGGGGGAUAACGUAGCGAAAGUUACGCUAAUACCGCAUACGAUCUACGGAUGAAAGCGGGGGAUCGCAAGACCUCGCGCGAAUGGAGCGGCCGAUGUCAGAUUAGGUAGUUGGUGGGGUAAAGGCUCACCAAGCCGACGAUCUGUAGCUGGUCUGAGAGGACGACCAGCCACACUGGGACUGAGACACGGCCCAGACUCCUACGGGAGGCAGCAGUGGGGAAUUUUGGACAAUGGGCGCAAGCCUGGAUCCAGCCAUUCCGCG